rnacentral:lncRNA from 1 species
GAACCAGGGUUUUAGCAUUUUCAGAUCAAUCGGCCGGAGACGAUGAAGAUUCCAAAGCUGGAAAAGAUUGAUGGUAAUUCGACGCCGUAAUUGAAGCAAACUUGGGCCGAAGAAGGCUGGAUUACUCCGUUUUCUGGGUUGAUUGAAGCUUAAAAUCUGCGUUGUCGGAUUGGAUGAGUAAUAGAGCUUGACGACGAAGACUACGAGACAACUGCCACACGCGCAGCCGCCGUGUCGGAAGGGG